AGAAUCAACGCUGGCGGCGUGCCUAACACAUGCAAGUCGAUCGAGAAAGUGGAGCAAUCCAUGAGUAAAGAGGCGCACGGGUGAGUAACACGUGACUAACCUACCUUCGAGUGGGGAAUAACCUGGGGAAACCCGGGCUAAUACCGCAUAAUACCUACGGGUCAAAGGAGCAAUUCGCUUGAAGAGGGGGUCGCGGCAGAUUAGUUAGUUGGCGGGGUAAUGGCCCACCAAGACGAUGAUCUGUAUCCGGCCUGAGAGGGCGCACGGACACACUGGAACUGAAACACGGUCCAGACUCCUACGGGAGGCAGCAGUGGGGAAUUUUGCGCAAUGGGGGAAACCCUGACGCAGCAACGCCGCGUGGAGGAUGAAGUCCCCUUGGGACGUAAACUCCUUUCGACCGGGACGAUUAUGACGGUACCGGAUGAAGAAGCCCCGGCUAACUUCGUGCCAGCAGCCGC
rnacentral:rRNA from 1 species